UCAUGAAGUGGCAAAAGGCUAGGUACAAGGCUAAAUAUCACAUUUUAUCUAUCACAUAUCACAGUGUAUGAUCAUAAUAAUAGCCAAACACUAACCUGGCAAAUGGUUUGCCUUCUCUUUAUAGGCAAUUUCACAAGGCUCCUCAUGGCCUUGCAGAGCUGCUGGAACCAUACAUUUGGAACAUAGCUUGCGUACGAAUUUCACCAUCUAUGACAGACAUUUACAAAAAUAGUAUUAGAUCCCUGCAGAUAACAGCUGAGUUUACAUUCACCACACAAAAUCAAGUUCACAAACACAAACGAAUACUUUCUUUCAAGAUUUAAAGUUUAAGAGAGUUAGUACUUAAUUGAACCACACGUCAUUAACAUACCUAGUCUCUGCUCAGUUUGGAGAUGAAGAUUUUCUUCAGCGAUGUAAUCUCUUCCCGAGUUUUUACCGCGGUUGUCUCUCUUUGUAACUCUUCUUCUGUUGCUAACUUCGGGACUUCUUGGGGUAAAUAAGAUGUCUAUGCAGCGAAUAGUGUUACAGAUGCGUUCCUUAGCGCCAGCUACCCUCGGGGAGUUUGAAAAGGAACGAACGCGUCUGCCCAAAAUCAGAUUUUUUUUUUUUGCCGUGAGAAAUUGGAUGUGUGACGUGAGUGCGUGUGAAAACAUGCAAAAGACCGUGAGAGUUGGCAGCUCUGUUAUAUACUUACCAUAUACUUAUCAUAUACUUACCAUAUACUUAUCAUAUACUUACCGUAUGCUUAUAAUAUCUACCAGGUUGGACAAGAAGAAGAGUGGGGAGGGCCAGCAACAGUUGACGGAGAGGGAGAUGUGGAUAAAAGACAAAUUUGACUUUUUCCACCGUGCUGUCAACCACCGCUCAAAGCACUUCCGGAGUUUGAAGGUGAUUAAAGUUGAAACUCAGGGGGAGCGGGCAGCGGCGGAGGAGAGGAUUGAUGUUGACGAGUUUGCUGAGAUCGUCCCCGUCUUACAACGUCAACCUGCCCCAGCCCCGUCGGUGUCCUCCGACAUGGAGACCCUCCAGAGGAAGGCCAUGGAGAGCGGCGAGAUGCUGACGAUGCUGCGUGAGCAACUCCCGCCUCCCGAGCCAGUCACCGAGAGGACCACCUACGCCGCCUACGUCAAAAGUGUGCUGCUGGGGAUGAGUGUAAAGGACUUUCGCCGGGCCCGGAAAGGCAUCAACAAGGUCCUGAGGCCCUUCUGCGAGUCGGAUUCAACCGACGACAGUGAGGACCAGCCCAAUAGACUAUGUUAAUAUGAUUAAUGUAGUCUCCUAUGUCUACCAGAGAAGAAAGGGUACAUUGAUAGACUGCCAAAACAAUAAUAGUUUAUCUCAGUGACCCUUCUCCCUACCUUGCUUUCCUUAGAGAAAUUAUCUCUUGCUUGAUCUUUGCCUGACCUUUUGUUAAGAAACUAAACUCAUACAACAAUGAAACAUUUUGGUUGUUUGGUUUGGUUCUUUGGUAGAUGCCCAGAACUAUUUUGCUGGUGGAAGGUGCAAGUUGUGUACCAUAAACCAGCUCAGACUGCAUAGUCUUCAGAGCUGAUGUGAAGCCACCCUGGGAGGAUUCCAAGUACGCGGUUUAUUGACCAACCUGGGUAAAUUAUCUCGGGCUAAG
rnacentral:lncRNA from 1 species